AAAAAAAAAAAAAAAAAACACUGCUGAUUCUUCUCUAUAUACACUUUGGCACCUGUUCCUCCUGCUGAUGUUUUUUUUUUUUCUUCUUUUUUUUCUUCUUUUUUCUUUUUUAUGACAGCAACAAGUGCCACCAUCCGUAGGGGUUAUUGUAUAGAAUAUAUGACGAUAGCAUCCACUAGUAUUACUUCUUUUUUCUU
rnacentral:ribozyme from 14 species